UACGUAGGCAGCGAGCGUUGUUCGGAAUUACUGGGCGUAAAGAGUGUGUAGGCGGUGCUCUAAGUUCGGUGUGAAAUCUCCUGGCUCAACUGGGAGGGUGCGCCGGAAACUGGAGUGCUUGAGCGUGGGAGAGGAAAGCGGAAUUCCUGGUGUGAGCGGUGAAAUGCGUAGAUAUCAGGAGGAACACCUGUGGCGAAAGCGGCUCACUGGACCAUAACUGACGCUGAUGCACGAAAGCUAGGGGAGCAAACAGG
rnacentral:rRNA from 1 species